rnacentral:rRNA from 1 species
CCUACGGGUGGCAGCAGUGAGGAAUAUUGGUCAAUGGGCGGGAGCCUGAACCAGCCAAGCCGCGUGAAGGAAGAAGGCGCCAAGCGUCGUAAACUUCUUUUGUCGGGGAACAAAGGGCGCCACGUGUGGCGUUGUGUGUGUACCCGAAGAAAAAGGAUCGGCUAACUCCGUGCCAGCAGCCGCGGUAAUACGGAGGAUGCGAGCGUUAUCCGGAUUUAUUGGGUGUAAAGGGUGCGUAGGCGGUUCGGAAAGUCAGUUGUGAAAGUUCGGGGCUCAACCGGGGAAGUGCAGUGGAACCUUGCAGUCUAGAGUACAGUAGAGGGGCGCGGAAUUCGUGGUGUAGCGGUGAAAUGCGUAGAUAUCGAGAAGAAC